GUAAGGAAUAUUGGUCAAUGGAGGCAACUCUGAACCAGCCAUGCCGCGUGCAGGAAGACGGCCCUCUGGGUUGUAAACUGCUUUUAUCUAGGAAUAAACCUACUUACGUGUAAGUAGCUGAAUGUACUAGAAGAAUAAGGAUCGGCUAACUCCGUGCCAGCAGCCGCGGUAAUACGGAGGAUCCAAGCGUUAUCCGGAUUUAUUGGGUUUAAAGGGUGCGUAGGCAGCCUAUUAAGUCAGGGGUGAAAGACGGUAGCUCAACUAUCGCAGUGCCCUUGAUACUGAUGGGCUUGAAUGAACUAGAGGUAGGCGGAAUGUGACAAGUAGCGGUGAAAUGUUUAGAUAUGUCACAGAACACCGAUUGCGAAGGCAGCUUACUAUGGUUUUAUUGACGCUGAGGCACGAAAGCGUGGGGAUCAAACAGGAUUAGAAACCCGGGUAGUCC
rnacentral:rRNA from 1 species